AUUGAACGCUGGCGGCAUGCUUUACACAUGCAAGUCGAACGGUAACAGGCCGCAAGGUGCUGACGAGUGGCGAACGGGUGAGUAAUGCAUCGGAACGUGCCCAGUCGUGGGGGAUAACUACUCGAAAGAGUAGCUAAUACCGCAUACGAUCUAUGGAUGAAAGCGGGGGACCGUAAGGCCUCGCGCGCUUGGAGCGGCCGAUGUCAGAUUAGGUAGUUGGUGGGGUAAAGGCUCACCAAGCCAACGAUCUGUAGCUGGUCUGAGAGGACAACCAGCCACACUGGGACGGAGACACGGCCCAGACUCCUACGGGAGGCAGCAGUGGGGAAUUUUGGACAAUGGGCGCAAGCCUGAUCCAGCAAUGCCGCGUGCAGGAAGAAGGCCUUCGGGUUGUAAACUGCUUUUGUACGGAACGAAACGGCUCUGGUUAAUACCCGGGGCUAAUGACGGUACCGUAAGAAUAAGCACCGGCUAACUACGUG
rnacentral:rRNA from 1 species